GAUUUGCUCCAAAUCCACGCAUAAGCGACUCGAUGGAGUAGCUCAUGCAGCAAGAACUCUUGCUGAAUAUCACCACUGGCUUCUCUUGAACCAUUACAUUCACUACAUCCAUUGUCACAAAGGUUUCAAAGAGUUUGAAGUGGUUGUUGAGAGAUUUUAAAAGGCUUGAGACGGGUGUAUGUUGACGUAGAUAGUUGAGACUCUAAAAGGCUUUGUUAUGAGGAGCUUGAAUACCCAAGGAGAUGGAGGCUAUUUAUACUGUCCAUUUAAAUGGUUGAACUCCACAGAGGGAUAGAAAAUGAGGGUUUGACGAAAAACUGUUAAGAAGAUGUGCCAUUAGAUUCCCCAGUUGCCUAAUUUAGGAUUUACUUGAUUAAGAACUUCCUAGCUUCCUUCUUAAUAGCAAUUUGCAUGCGAGAAAAAUGUGGUUUUCUGCUCUAAUAACAGGACUUAACUUGAUUCAACCUGUCCAAUACACUGUACAAACAUAACUUGCUUGCAUUACAAUAUUAGUAAUUAAACGUUCAAGAUAUAAUAGUUCUUGGCCUCAACCUAUAAGCUAGUAAGAUUUUUUGAUUGGGUGAAUCAUUUGCAUUUUUCCAUGCCAUGGGGACCUCUUUAACUUGUGGGCAAGCUUUGGGUUGGGUAGUCCAGGCAGCAAUUUCGAUUAAUCAAGAUUUUUUUCUUUUUAGUUUUCCCCUUAAAAAAUCGUAUAGCUUCAGUUCUAUCUAAUUUUGAGCAUCUGCAUGCUGAGGUGGAGGAUGGGUUGGGUUUAUCCACUUGAAUAAGACACUUUCCUCUAUAGCAAGAUUCGCACAAGUGCAAUUUGAAGAAAACCGAAAGCUCGAAAAAAAUGAUGCUUUUAGAAAGACUUGACUCUGCACUCUUCCCUUAGCAGCAGGGUGAUGUAACAAAAACCACGUGUUUGUUGAUGUAUACUAGAAGAUGAACAAGGCACCCAGUGGAGCCACCACACUAUCGAUUUCUACACAUUGCAGAACCUGGAAUGAUAUACUACCUGCUAAGACAUUCUGAUCAGCAAUCUGAAAACAUAAGAUUAAUGCUAACAAAUUACUAUAUCAUUGCCCUCAUGUUCUUCUGAGUGGGAAAUGACCUCUUCUUUUCCAGUCCAUGUUCUCAUCUGCCACUUGCUUCGUUAAGAAAUGCUAAUGGGGGGUUUCCCCAAGUAUGUUGAGCGGUAGCUUUGCCUUUGUUUAAAAUUCUGAAUCCUGGUAGAUAGGCUGCAAAAACAAGAACAUUUCCUUCAAAGCAACAACUUGAGCAAAUAAGAAUAAAACACUCUGAUACUUGAGGGUCUAGUCCAUUGGUCAACUGCAAGGCUUGUUUUUGUAAAGGUCCUGGGUUCGAUCCUCAAGAGUACCAGCCUGUCACCCCUGCGGUGCCUUGCCUAUUGGGCUUGCAGGAUGUUCAGUAGGCCCUGAGAUUAGUUGUGGUGCGCGUAAGCUGGCCCGGACACCUAGGGUCAUUAAAAAAAAAAAGAAUAAAGCACUCUGCAACCAUCUAGGUGGUGGCCCAGUGAUAAGAGCUUGGAACCAAGAGGUUUGCUCCCUCUGUGGUCUCAGGUUCGAGCCUUGGGUUGCUCAUAUGAUGGCCACUGGAGGCUUAUAUGGUCGUUAACUUCAGGGCCCGUGGGAUUAGUUGAGGUGCGCGUAAACUAACCCGAACACCCACGUUAAACUAAAAAGAAAAGAAAAGAAUAAAGCACUCUGCUCUCACUUAUUGUCAAUUCACUCUCUUGUCGACGUUUCUAAUUCCUCACAUGCGCUGCGAUUUAAGUUUACACACAGAUUGAUUCUUUUUUUAUUUCAUGAAUAGAACUUCUAAAGAAAUGGGGUCAAAUAGAAUUACUUUCUUUUAGAUGUACUGAUGUCAGUUAAUAUUGUGUUUAAAAUUUUAAAAUUCAUGGACAAACUGAUGAUGGAAAGAUAUUCCCCAUGUGAGAAUACCUUGAGAAUUCAAGCAUGAACAACUCUAUUUGCAAAUACAGUUCCAUCAUCGUCACCUUUUCUUUUGGGCUUACACAGCUUUGAAUCAUUAGUACUGUGAUGUAGCCCCUCUUCCAAUUUUCCUAGUGUUAACAUCCAAAAUAGCUAUUUAUCUAGGUCACACAAGCUAUAUCUGCUUCCUGGAAAGAAGAACAGACAGAAAGUACGGAGGAUCAUCCGCUUGCAUAACUGGCUUGAUCAUGAGAUACAGCCAAAGGCUUAGAUCAGCUUGCAGGGCCACUUGAAUAUGUUUUGCCUUCAACCCAGCUACUAAUAUAUUCAUGUUCAUAACUCUUUUCCAUCUGUUCAAUGUACAAAUGAAGCAUGAUCAUGAUGCUCCGUCUUAUUCUCUUAACAUAUAUGCGACGUAUGCUUCGUAAAUGUAAUUACAGAACCUGCAGUCUUCGUUAUGAACAAGUCUAUGAAAGUGGAGAAUUAUAGAUUGAAUUAUUAGAGCUCUUUGCAGUCAUCAUUAAUCAUGCUCUGAUGCCAUGCUAUCAACAGGAAAAUGACAGAGAGGAGAAGUACAGCUGCUUAGGAAGCCAGCCAAGAAUGUCAACUUUGGUGAGUCAAGUAGGAUUGUCUAGAAAUGGAAUAUGAGAAAAGGCUGAACGCGAGCGAGGACGGUUCCUGGCAUCACAGAUAUAGAUCAAGAUUCUUGAGAUAUCAUAUCAGCAAAAUAUCCAUCUUGUCGGAAAUUUCAUUUCCUCAUUUCUUUUUUGUGAGCUACCUCCAUUUAAUGCUUUAAUUUCUAGCAUACUUUCACGUUUCAUUAAUGUGUAUAUGUAAUUGUCCUCUGUAGCGUGAUAGUAGAGAGCUUGAAAUUUACACAACAAAUCUUGAAUUCGAGUUAAGAUAUGUAUUUUUUAUAUAAGUUUGGUACAUUCAAGAUUUUACUUACUAAUCUAGAUCUAUAAACUGCGCUUCUCAAAAAUAAAAUUUCUUUGAAUAAUAAUAAAAAGUAUAUGUAAUCAUGCAAGUACAACAAAAUAUAUGAAAGUCACAUCAAGAUUUCUGUAUGAAGUCACAUUAAAUUAUAUGACAGGAUCAGUUUCUUAUCGAUAUAUAAAUUAAUUAUGCCCUAAAUCUCCGGUUAACAAGACUAGUCAUGACAGCACGAUGAAUUUCAAUCUCAUGAUAUUCUUCAGUUGGAUACAGGCAUCUUACUUUUUUUCUUUUUUUUAUCACAUGGUUUACUUUUCCAUGUUCCUAGUUGUUUUACGGUUAGGAGAGUAUAUAUCCAAGAGCUUGUUUCGUUUUCCAAGUUGUCAUUUAUCUAUAUAUAUCUUUGCGAACCAUGCAGCUGCACAUCACUAUUUACAUAUAUUUUGAUUUUGAUCGCUAAUAUUGAUAAACAUAGCAUCCUUUUUCCAUCACUGAAGAAAAAUAUUAUUGAUAGAACACUAUAACGCAGAUAGAGGCAAAUCUAGGUAAUAAAGAAGUCUUAGUUAUUACUAAAUUAGUAGCUUGCAUCUUGCUGCCGACUAGACCAAACUUUUUAUUAAUGAGAAAAAAAAUGUUUAGGUUAUAAAAGCUUUUUAAAGAAGUAAGAGAAAUAUAUAUGAAAGUUAGGUUAUUGACUUUAUUAGAUUUAAUAACUUUGGUUAAUAUGAUAAAAAAAAACUUUGGUUAAUAUGGUUAAAAAAAAGGCAAGAAUAAGAGAUAAAUUAAAAAAAAAAAUAGCCUAGGUCAAGUUGGGUUAACAUGCGAAACCUGUGACAUGGCUAAUAAAAUUAGAAUAACCUUAUAGAAGGAUAAAAUAAAAAAAAUUAAUUGCAACUUUUUUUUUAAAAAAAGACCUAAGCCAACAUAAACUGAUCUUUUAAACUCGUGACUUGGAUUUUAAGACCAAAAGUAUUCCACAGAAGGCAAACCCAAAACAAUCAUGAAGUCAAAUUCUAGAUUAACAAAAUCUCAAUUAAUAAAAUGUUGAGAGAUGAAAUAAAAAAAAAUUUCAAUAUAGAAGGCUUAAAAACAAAAUAAAUAGCAAUUAAAAAAUAUCCACCAGAUCAUUGUACUCUCAGACAAACCCUUGAGAUAGAUCCUACAUAGAUUAGAAAUGUCUAGAUAACUAGUGAAAUGGGUUCAAGGCCAUUGAACUGAGAGAAUUUGGACUUGAAUAAAAACUUCUACAAACCAUAAAUGGUAAAACCUUAGUAGAUUUUAUUGACAAAACCUUAUUAGAUUUUAUUGAUAAGUGUACUUUUAAGAAUUCAAGGGAUAUAUUUGAACUGCAAUCUUCAAUUAUAGCUUCUAUUACACAUGAUGCGCCAAUUAAACAACUUCAACAAGUACAAAGCUCUUCUAGCUAGGUUGUGUCUAGCAAAAACCCUGAAUGCAUAUCCUUUGAAAGUUCAUAGUGAUUUUCAACUGGUGGGUUGAUUUAAAAGAAUAUAUGAAAGCAAAGAAUCUACAAUCUAAUUAUAUAUUUAAAAAGGUUUACUUCAUUUGAAAAAUAAAAACAAAAAAUUUUCAAUCAACAUGCAAAUCUCCUAUUAAAAUUGGUUAGUUCUAGACCUCCAUAAUGCCUUUUAACUUAAGUUGGGUUAAAUCUCAAGUCUCGAGUAUCCAAGAUUAGAAAUCCUACUUCUAGAACAAUUACAUGAAUUAUUCAUGUAUGAAGUAAUAAUCUCCCUAUAUUUGUAGAUGUAUAAAAGGUCUCUUAAAAUAUCCACCCCACUUACCAUCUCAUUAAUAAUAUAUAAGGAAUAUUUGUUUCCUAUUAAUGCCACUAAAAGUAAAAUACUUUUCAGCCAUUUCCUUCUCUGAAAAUGACAAGGUUCAGAGGUAUAAAUACCCUCUAAAUCAUUCAGGUAAAUGGCUCAAAACUUUUUUAUUUUUUAAUAGUUUUCAUGUAUUUUAAAGCAUUAAUCACCCUAAAAUGCAAGAACUGACAUCAUUUGUUGUUAGAAUUUAAGGUUUUGUAAAAUUAUUUAUUAUCUUUCUUAUAAAAUUACUGGUUUUAUCAUUGAAGGAAUUUUAAGUCCCGUAAUUAGAUUGUUUUUGCAUGUACUUAAGAUUUAUCAUUAAUUUGAUGCUUCUUAAGCUAAGAAGAAGAAAACUAUUUAUUUAAAUAUCUUAAUUAAUUAUUAGCCACAAAUUAACUUAACAUUUACAUCAAUAUUAUUUUGGGUUUUGAGACAUCAUCCAAUUGUCAACUGAAUCUCUGCAAAUUAAAAGAAAUUAAUACCAAUGUGCUCAACCAAAUGGAUCAUGUAAUUAAGCUACAAGUCUCCUUUAUUUAGCAUCCACUAGCAUUUAGUACAGACCGGAGAUAAUAGUAGGACAUGGUUACCACAAAUUAAAAAAAAAAAAAGGAAAAAAAGUUAAUCCUGACCGUUAAAAAACGAUCAGGUAUCCAAGAGACUCUAUAAAAUACAUAUCUAAAGCCUUGUUUGAUAAUCUAUAUUCAAGCCCAUCAAAAUUCGAGCACUAACAAACAGUACUUGUGAUGUUUUGAAUUAAAAAGAUUGGAAAAUACAAUAAAACCCUUGAUGGCUUAAAGAGAGGGUAUAAAUGAUUGAGGGUUAGUGUGGUAAUUGAACAAUAGUUGAUAAAUAUAAAUAAGAAGAAGAAAAAAAAAACAAGAAUGAUCUGAUUUUGAGAGAAAGAGAGCUACGGGAGAGAAAGGGAAAGAGGAAAAAGAAGAAAAGAAAGGAGAGAAGGAAAGGAAGGAGAAGAGAAGUAGAGGAAAUAAGUAAAAAGGUAAGAUUUAUGGUUUGAAGUGUAUAAUAUGUUAAAUUUUGGUUUUGAUUAAUUGUAGAGUUUUGAAGUUUGUAUUUUGAGUUAAUUGAUGAAUUAAUUUGAAGGUUAGGAGUUGAUUAUUGUGGGUAUUUGAUUAAUUAGUUGAUUUUGAGAGAUUGAAUUGAAGGAUAAUGAUUUUGAGUUAUGAUUUUGUUUAAAUGGUGAAAUUGUGUUAGAAAUCAGGGGAUAACAGUAGGUGAUCUGUUGAAAUUCUGGGUUUGAGGUUGAAGAUGACGAAAAUUCAGUUUGGUCCCUCAAUUUGUGAAAAUUGCACUUUAGUCCCCGAACUUUGGAAAUAUUACAAAUUGGUCCCUGGAGCAUAUUCCGAGAUUCUGAACAGAAUAACAUAUGGAUUAUGAGCAGAAUUACUGUAUAGAUAAGAGAAUUUAACAUUUUCAGUUUGGUCCUUCAAUUUGACAAAUUACGAUUUGACCCCUAAUAUUUUGAUAAAAUCACAUUUUGGACCUUGGGGCAUAAUUCAAGAUUCUGGACAAAGAUAAGGACGAAUUAUGGAUAAAUUUCAGUAUGGUUAUAUAUUUACAACCUGGUCCUCAAAUUUUGGUAAAAUUACGUUUUGGUCCCUGUUUUGGAAAAUUGUCGCUUUAGUCCCUAAACUUGGGAGAUUAAGCCUGGUUUUAUUUUAUGCAUUGGGAUCUUUUGUUUGAUUUGUUUUUUAGUAUAUUUCAUAUAUUUAUUGUAGGUUCUCCUAACGAUACUUAAUAGGAUUUUCGGGUCUUUCGUCCGACAUUCCUUUUAGUUCUAUAUUUUCCGGGUGAGUGGAAUAAUCUUUAAUAUGCAUAUAAUAUAAAUAAAUAUAUAUGUUGAUUAUACAAUGAGUACAACUAGUAAAUUUCUUGAAUAUUUAUAUAUGUUGCUUUAUUUUCCGAGUACUCAUUUAUUCUUGAAUUUGCACUCGCAAUCUGAUAAAGUAAAUUAUAUUUGAUAUGAUAUACGUUUCUUUGAUGAUUAUGUAAAUAUGUAUUAUGCCUUGAUAUGGGACUUGUCAGUAACUCCAUGCUAACGGAGAAUAGUUAGCCUGUGUGGACAUAGUAUUCUGUUACCUAGCUGUGAGAGAGGCAUCAGCCUGUGGCGAUUGAUCAUCCCACAGUGGUCACCGACGGGUGUCAUCUGGUCGCCUUCGGUGUCAUCUGCUUCUGACAUGUAAUCCACUAUGUUUAUGAUAAUAUGUUACGUUAUGAUAUUAUGUUUAGUAAGUAUGUAUAUGUAUAUGUAUAUUAAGAUACAUCAUCUUACAAAUUAUUAAUAUCUGAAAUAUCUGAAAUGUAUAUUAAAUGUUAUUCCCUUACUGAGUUAUAAUAUUAUUUCAGGUUUUUAGUUUUUGAUAGUAGUUGGACUUUGUUGAGUGUUUCUGCUUCUUCAGUUCUGGUCGGUAUGCCUUGCUUGUUCGCGAGGCUUUCCUUACAGUUUUGAUUUGAUGUCUCCACGCCCGUUGGUUUAAUUAAAUUUGGAUUUUGACAAUGUAAUGAGUAUUAUGAAUUAUUAUUUUUUGUUUUGAUAACUAUCUUUCGGUUUCAUCAGUAUUUGAAUAAUAUAAUAUUUUUGAAUAUUAUGAGCCGCUGCGUAUUUUUGAACAAAUUGUUCUUUUGAUAUGUCUGUUCUGAGGCUUAGCGUAGGUGAGGUGUCCUUUCGACACCGCUCCUACGUUGCCGGUCACGGAUCCGGGAUUCAGGUCGUGACAAUACUGAAUUAAACCAAGUGCAAAUUUGAUGACUUAUGGCUGCCAUUUGAUCAAAUCCAUAUAGCUCCCGCCUUCCUGAGCAACGGGGCUAGCUCAUUCUUGACCUGUAAGCUCAUGACUUGCUUAUCACCACCAACAAACUCUUGGCCUAUGAAAACAACCGGUACACUUGGCUGGCAUCCUAGCUGCACUAAUGCCUUUUCAAUUUGCUUCCCGUUUGGUAUUUGAUCAAGCUCAUAAACUGUAGGAUUUGCCCCGAAACUCGAUAUAAGUGUCUUAAUGGAGUGGCUCAUGCAACAAGUGCUCCGGCUAAAAACCACCACGGGCUUGUCAGCAACCAGCCUCCUCACCAUAUCCAUGUCUACGAAGAACAGAAGUUGGCAAAGUGAAUGUUAUGACUUGUGAAGUGUGUUGUGAGAGAUUAGAGGGCUUUGCUCUGAAGAACUUGUCAUCCUUGGAUGGUCUAUUUAUGCUAGCCAUUCGGAGGGGGUAGCUUGCGUUCUUUUCUUCUUUCCGGCCCUGAUAGAAUAUCAGCUAAAAGGGAAUAAAAUGUUAAGAAUAUGUAUUCAAUUUGAUUCCCUAUGUACUCUGAUGAUUACUUGAGGUUGACUUGUAGAAUCAUACUUUCUAUCCUGAAAAUUAAUUAACAUGCAAACUGUGACAAAAAUAAGAAAAUGAUAGAUUCCCAAGUCAAUUUAACUAUUGUAUCCUUAACCUAUCAUAUCACUCAAUAACCUCUCCUAGCUAGAAAUCUAAUGUCUUUAUGAUGUUUUGGGUUUUCUUUUCAAGAGUUGGGUUACACAAGGGUGUUCUAACCUUUCCCAGCCUGAUGGUUAACUGACUUAAUUGACCAAGUGAUUUGGCCCUGACGAUGUACCGUCAUUUCUCGGUGGUUUUCUUGUUUUCUUUAUGAGCAUAAGCUGAGGUGGAGAAGGAACUUGGGUUUAUCUAACGGUGUUAGCUCCUAUCCUUUUCCAUGUAAAGAUUCGCACAAUUUUAAUGCAAGACAACCGAAAGCUAACAGAAGGGCAACGGAAAGAAGAAAUUUGCAUACAGAAGAUGCUUGUCAAAAAACGAUUGACCCUUUAAUUGAAGAUCGCAUGGAAAGAUCACAAAACUACGUAAGGGCCGUAGGAGGUUUAAAUGGCUCUGAUGUAAAAAUCACAUGAUCUGGUUCUAUUCACAGUAAAAAUCUGGCUCUGAUGUUUAAAUGGCUUUGGAACCUUGACAAAGGAGUGGUAGGAGGUUGGCAAGAGCUCAUCUUACGAAAGUACCAACCACAUUUUUCAAAUGGCCUUCCUGUGUUUGCAGGUUCUUUAUCUCCAACUUGGCGUGGCAUGGUAUCUGCAAUUUCCUUAAAUCACAACAUAUCCGCUCCCAUCCAAUCCAAUGUUGGGUUUAAGGUGGGUGAUGGGAGAAACAUCAGGUUUUGGUCUGAUUCUUGGCUAGGCUAUGCAGCCCCUCUCCAGUUCAUGUUCCCUAGGCUCUACAACCUCUCCCUGCAGCAAUCUUUAAGCGUUGCAGAAGUUCAUAACCCAAUAGAUAACUCAAUCAAUCUUUCUUGGAGAAGACCACUUCGAUCCCGAGAACUCUGCAUAUGUGAAAGCUUGAUAGCAGAAGUGGAACGUGGCCUAGUCUUCUCUGAUGGUGAAGACAACAAGAUUUGGAAACACCAUAGCUCCAACAAUUACAUAGUCUCCUCUGGGUGCCAUCUCUUUGACGAUUUAAAUGUUUCAGGACAUCUGUACUCCCCUGCUUUGCUUUGGAAAGGGUUUGCGCCUCCAAAAAUAGAUGUGUUCAUAUGGCUUCUUUUCAAUGGCAGUGUCUGCACAAAGGGUUUCUUAGCUGAGAGGAGAAUCAUCAAUUACGAGGAAGCUCUUUGUCCUUUCUGCUGCAAGGAGAUUGAGACUACACAUCAUCUUUUCCAUCUUUGUCCAAAAUCAUGGUCUCUUUGGGGCAGACUAUUUAGUUGGUUUGGGUGUGUAGGUUGUCUACCAAAAGAACCAUAUCAUAACCUUCAGGAAUGGUCCAACAUGGUAAAAGGAAAAUUCCAGCGUCAGGCAAUUACCCUUCUCUGUAAAGGAUUAUACUGGUCAAUUUGGAUAGCGCGCAACCACAUGAUCUUUGACAACAAAACUCCAGAAUGGGAUGUGAUUUUUGACCUCACCUUUCAUUGGUUGGCCUUUUGGUUGAAGUCCUUUGUUAAAAAUUUCAGCUAUACGGGCUCUGAUAUUUAUAGGAAUCCUGAAUGUAUUAUGAACUGGACUAACUAGUCAGGUCUUUAGAUUCCUUGUUUUCUUAAUGUAUUUUUAAUUUCCCAUGUAAUCUUCCUUAUCAGCCCUCAUCUCCUUAAUGGGGGCAUAUUAUUUAUAAUAUUCUCGAUUACUAUAUAUAUAAAAAAAACUACGUAAGGGCCGUACAAGAAGAUGGUUUUUUGAAGAUCCGCUACAUGACCUUAUCAUCUACUUUGACAAAUAACACAGAUAUUCUCUACGUGAAUCACCUGAUUAGUGCUUAUAAACAAUGGAAGAGGCCUACUAAAUAUAUUAUAUUAUGAUCAGCUAGCAUCAUCAAGUUAAUUUACUUCCUUUUUCUUUAUUAACACCCCUGUCUUAUCAUAAAAGAAAAGAAAGUUUCUAUAUUAUUAUUGAGGCAGCAUAUGUGUGGUCGGUCAGCAGUUCAAAGUUUCAACAAUUAAUGAGCUUUGACUUUAAAGCACAAGAAAAUAUAGGGCUAGCGAUCUUUAUAGUAUAUUGGUUUACUUCACCUUAAAUUAAGCAAUAUGGACUCAAUAUUGCGCUGAUUACAACACUAGCUAGCUAGGACUCUUAAAGCAUAUUUACUAGGGUGAUAUUCCUGAGAAUUCGAGAUUAAUUAAGAUCCCUCAUUGUGGAAGAAUUCUAUGUAUCACUUGUCCACCCUUCCUGAAAGCAAUUAGAAUCAUAGUUCUGACACGUGCCCUUUCUUCUUUAUCUACUUAGAAUGUUGAAAUUCUGUAUAUUUGAUGAAAGGUUCCAUGCGAAAACUACAACUAUAAGAAAUGGCCACGUUCUGCUGUCUAGAAAGCUCCCCUGGGUAGGAAUAUAAUAGCUCAACCGGCUCAUGAUAAAACGAAGGGUCACUGAUGUAGAGUUUUCUGGUUUAUGGUAUCUUCACCUUUUCAAUACAUUUUUUAUUAAUCAAAUUAAUUAGACUUUAUCGACACGUGAUUUUAUGGCGAGUAUUCUGGUUUUUAUGAUGGUCACCUUCACUUGGGUUCACUCAAUCUCUCACUUGCAAUGCAACAGAUAUAUACUAGUUUGUAAUUACCUUGCGAAUAUAUGAUCGCAUGAGUUUCAAUAUGGAGGAAUAGAAUUUUGUUUUGGUGGAUGGAUAUAUAUCUACAGGUAGAACCUAAAGCAGAAUGCGAGGUCAGUUCCUCGCAUGACAGAGACAUGUACGAAUUGCAUUGGCUUAAGUAACCUAGGUUAAUGUUCGUACCAAGUGUUGUGCGUAAUCCGGGAUCUGUGAUGUACUGAUCUUUGCUCAUCGGAGGGAUAAGCACACAGACACAAUAUUUUACGUGGUUCGGUAAAACCGCCUACAUCCACGGGAGAGGUCCAUUGUAUUUAGAGAUAGAAAAAGGAUUACAAUAAAUACAUGGAGGAGGAGGCACAUCCACUCAACUCAACUCACUAUUCAUGCAGCUGCAAUGGCUGCAGGGCUGCUGCCCAUGGCAGCAGCUCUUUCUCUCCUCUUUCUCUUCACUUCAUUCUCAUGUUCUCUCACACUUUGCUCUUUAAGAUCGUGCCUCUUUUAUAGGCAUCAAUGACAGCUCCUCUUGCUCCUUUGUCAUCAAUGGUGGCUGCCAAACUCAUCUCUUCUUCAACAAAGGCUGCUGCCAACUUCUUCUCUUCUUCAACAAUGGUGGCUACCAAAGUCAAUGGUUGUAGCCACCAUUUGUUGCACAUGUAAUGGCAACAUACCUAACAAUCACCCCCUUUGCCAUUCAUGUGGGGCAAUUGUCUGCUUGCUUCUUCAGUACAAGCUUGCAUCUUGCAGCUCUUUCAAGCUUACCAUUCUGAGAGCGUCCGUGACCAAGUUUACAGGUACUCGCCAAACCUUUCAAUCAUCAGAGUCACCAAAGCACACCUUUUCUCACACAAAAGGAUCACUUCAACCAGAUGGUCUCACACAUCACAUCUGAAGAGUGUUAACACUUGUCUCUAGGACACAACAUUCCCCUUCGAGCGUAUCAACCAUUCUCGGUCCGGAAUGAUUCAUCAAGCCUCACACCAAGGCUUACAACACCCCCUCAAACGGAUAUUCCAAGUGCGACAGUCAUUAUCUGAGUAUCUCAAUAUGAUCACAAGCCCACCACUCUUCCAAGAGUCUACUCAUCCAGGAGUUGCGCCUGCCCUCUGUUCCACCUAGGAACCACGCCUUACUUCUCCGUGAGUCUCUCGCUCUUAGUCGUAAGAGUCCAGGUAGCUCUCCACCUUUAACCAUGGGGGCAGCCCAUUAAAGGUUGAUCCAUGUAUGUCUUCAUACUCUGAGUAUUACAAUGCCAUCACCGAGCUCACCACCUUGACAAGAGUCAACUCGUUCCCGGAACCUGCGCAUGCCCUCUGCUCCUUCAUAGCAGCCGCGUCUUAAUGCUCCACAAGUCACCACUUAUUGUCCAAGGCAAAUGUCUUCUAGCUCAUUGAUCUUUAGCAUGGGGGCAAUAUCCAUGAAAGUCAAUCCUGCAUUUGUCUUCAUACUCAUCAUAGCCACUUCAUUGGCUAUCCAUCUGUCCACUUAUAUCUAGCCAUCAUUGGCUCUGGGGCGUUCUGAACUGGGCUCUAUCUGGCCCUCACACCUUCUCUGAGGUGUCUCCGCUCGUCGUCAUGCGGCGGUCUGAAAUCUGGGCUCACAUCAUGGCCCUCACACCUUCCAUCUGAGGUGUCUCCGCCUAUUGUCAUGAGGCGGUCUCAUCCUCCUUCAUCGGGAUGACUCCAGUGGCUUCAAGAUUCCCUACCACCAUGUGGACUUGGGAGAGAUUACUGCCACUAACUACACAACAAGAGAAAGUUGCGGUAUACUCCUCGCAAUCCUUCACCUUGAUUUCUAUGCCUGGAGCUUCUACGCCUUUCUGCUUGACAGCUCCACCUACACCACUCUCUUUGGUGUCUUCGCCUUUCAUCAUAGGCGGUCGCCUUUUGUCAUAGGCGUUUGCACCCCCUCAAUUAGGUGCCUCUGCAACAGCUCUCUUUCCAUCCUUGCAUGCAUUGAAAGGUCUUCGCCUGUUGUCUUCAUCAAGAGCAUAAAAGACUUCCUAUUGUACAAACUUUAACAGUCUCUGCUCUGAGCUUCAUCUGGGAACUCUUCUUCUCCUUGCACCUGUUGUCUCAUCACAGUACCUCGUUGGAUCCUCCGGGUACUCUUGCACAAUCUCCGUGUUCCCUCGUGCAAUUUUGUUCUCCAGAUUUCUCCCUAUUCCUUGCAUAUGUUUGACAGCAGCUCAUCCUGUCACAACACCUGUCCAAGUCAAAAUAGGGUGCCAAUCUUUAUCCCCUUGCUGUAUUUCUCUUCCAUUAUCAGGGUCUUCAUCAAUUCUCCCCUCGAGAAAUCACAGUCACCGAAUCUAACUUCUUUGGAGAAAUCACCACUCCAUCAGAUCCUUGAUCAUACGGAACCCAACUGUUCCCCUUGUGCCGUCAUCCUGCUAGUCUUCAACCGUUUCAUUACAAACUGCUAUAUAUACGAAAAUAGUACCGUAUGGAUAAUCCUUCCACUAAGCAAGUUCCCAGGAAAGAUUGGAGGGGUCACACUGGUCCCGCUUAAAACCCAAUCUCCUAGACAGAACUUCUUAGGCCAUAUCUAUCCAUCGUACUGUCUCUCCGUAUAUACAACCAUUUGCUAGCUUUGUUGCGGCUUUCCUUUACAAGUGAUCUGGAAUAUACAGGUUUAAUACAUGAUUUCUCAACAUCUAGCGAGACUACUAGUGUUUAGAUUCGUCAAGAUUGGUCUUCAUCAAUUUCCACUCUCCACCUCAAAUCGUCCACAUGACCGGGUGUCCAGAGUGUCCCAAUUUUGCCUUCCAUCAAGGCAUUACAUUUUCUCACUUAACAGUUCAGCACAUGUAAUUGGGUAAACAUGUGCACCUUCUUCUUCUUCAUCAAUUUCCACUCUCCACCUCAAAUCGUCCACAUGACCGGGUGUCCAGAGUGUCUCAAUUUUGCCUUCCAUCAAGGCAUUACAUUUUCUCACUUAACAGUUCAGCACAUGUAAUUGGGUAAACAUGUGCACCUUCUUCUUCUUAAUCUCUAUCGACCUCAGUCCAGACCCUCAGAUGCCUCCUGAUCGGGCAAUCUCUCUUCCAUAAUUCACCAUUGUCAUUUUCGGUUUCAAAUCUCAACGAUUGGACCGUACCAUUGCAUCCGGAAUGAUCAAAUUAGUUGGAAACAUGUCUUGAAUCGUCCAAAUCGCACUUCAGACGGCUAAGAUUUGAUCAAAACAUUUCUGGCCUGAUCAACAGCUCAGAUUCACUCUCAGAUCCGGUUGCACGUAGACUCUGCUGCACAGAUUCCUUUCCCUCGGCUCGCGGCUCAGCUCGGCUUCAUCUCGGCUUGGCUCGCGGCUAAUGACGUGGCAGAUAGGUCCCACUAUGCUGACAUGUCUGUUGACUAGUCAAUGGCUUGCUGACUGUGUAUGAUGAUGUCAUCCUUUGCAUGGCACUGUUCAUGCCUACUGUUCACAUGGGUCGGGUCGGCUGGUAUUCGGGUCAGGUCAACUCAUCCGGGCGAAGAAGACGCGUGGGCGCGUCUGCGCGCGUGGGCAGACGCCUUGCCGGAGAGUGAUGGAGAGUGCGACCAUGUCUGACGUCCGAUUUUGACGCCGUUUUCACCGGUGGCUUCGUAUCGUCCUCCUCUACACAAUGGGAUGGUUAAAACACCAUUGUGACAACUUUCAUUUUUUGAGCAAAGAUCAAACACCACUUUAAACCAAAAAGCUCUGAUACCAAUUGUUGUGCGGAAUUCGGGAUCGGUGAUAUACUGAUCUUUGCUCAUCGGAGGGAUAAGCACACAGACACAAUAUUUUUCGUGGUUUGGCAAAACCGCCUACAUCCACGGGAGAGGUCCAUUGUAUUUAGAGAUAGAGAAAGGAUUACAAUAAAUACAUGGAGGAGGAGGCACAUCCACUCAACUCAACUCACUAUUCAUGCAGCUGCAAUGGCUGCAGGGCUGCUGCCAAUGGCAGCAGCUCUUUCUCUCCUCUUUCUCUUCACUUCAUUCUCAUGUUCUCUCACACUUUGCUCUCUAAGAUCAUGUCUCUUUUAUAGGCAUCAAUGGCAGCUCCUCUUGCUCCUUUGUCAUCAAUGGUGGCUGCCAAACUCAUCUCUUCUUCAACAAAGGCUGCCGACAACUUCUUCUCUUCUUCAAGAAUGGUGGCUACCAAAGUCAAUGGUUGUAGCCACAAUUUGUUGCACAUGUAAUGGCAACAUACCUAACACCAAGUACAACACUUAGGAUUCCAUCUCUUUCUCAUGGACCUAGCUAGCUAGCUCGAAAGCCAAGUGAGAAAUUUCAGACAGAAGUGGUUUAAGACAGCUUGAUGCUUAUCUUUUUUCAAGAUCUACUGAAAGUUCUUAGAAGCUUCAUCGAUAAUAUAUACUCCACAAUCUUUCUAGAGAUAAAAUUACAAGGUAUGUAUGGAAUAGAAUUCACAACACAUGACAAGAUCACUCAUCUUUGCUCAAAAUGAUUCUCUAAAUCUAAAAUUUAAACGAUCUCUGAUCUUCAUGGCAAGCUGAAUGUCGUUCGUGUCAAUAUUAUUUCCAAAUCACUCAAUUUUAUUUUUUUCUUCAAAAUCUUUUAACAUGAUUAUGUGAUGUGUCAACUCAAGCACGUUCUCUGAAUCGAUGCAGAUAAUUUGGUAGAUCACGUGUCAUUUUUCUACCGUUAAUCCUAAUGUGAUCCCGUGUUCUAUUUUUCCCACUUUUUAUUUUUUUUAAUGAGUUAUCAAAUUUUAUUCAUCAGAAAGCAACUAAUUAGCAGAAUGCUUAAUCCUGAGCCCUGAAAACAACAACGGAAAAAAAACAACAACCAGUAUGUCUAAGAAAACAUCAGUGUUUCAUGCAGACAACGAGGAGACAAAUCCCCACAAGAUUUCUCAUUAAUUUUUAUCCACUCCUUUAUCAUUAAGCAAUCCUAUAGCUCAAUUGGAACCAGAACAGAUCAAGAACACAAAGAUUAGGCUCGACAACGAGAAGGAAUUAAAAUUAAAAGCUGCAGGCAUUGCAAGUUCCAUCGAGCUAUAGGAUUAUUGAGGAAGUACUUGACUGAAGAAUGGGUGCUUUAUAGGAGACAACUUAUAAGAAACUAAGAAAGGUAAUCCAAGGCAACAUUAAGAUGAAAAUUGGGUUUGAUCUUCAACAAGAUCAAGAUCAAGAUCAAAUGGAUAUCCAGGCUGCAAUUGACGACCAUUUUCAGCCUUGUUUUAAUGAUAAUAUAAAGGGUGAGUUGGUGUAAAGCUACUUUUGGGGAGAAUGCAUGCCCGAAGACAUGGCUUAUUGUCUAGCAAGCCAGUUAACUACCAGGAGUAGGCAAAUCAAGAUGGCAGGAAUAUCACUUCUAAGCGCGUUAUGAUGCUCAAUCAAGAAGAUCAAGAUCAUGAGUCUCGACCAACUGUUCUUUGCUCGCUCGUACAUCUACUUCAUAAAGGAAGGAACAACAAGCUCCAUGGUUCAGAUUGUCCAACAGAAGGAAAAUUUUGCAAUCUGUACAGUACAGAUUUUAUGGUGCUAUAAGCAUCUUUAGGAGGCAAUGCUAAAUACAAUUUACUCUAACUUUUGUCACAUUCAGUGUUUUUGCAAGGAACAGUUUUGAUUUUUUGUUUUGUAGUUCGUUUGCGUGAGGUUUUCAGCUGUAAUGAGAUUUCUCAUUUAUUACAAAGAAGGUUGACAAAUGUUCACAAGUCUUCCCAGCCCUUGUUAUCCUCAACACAAAGUGCUCAUGCUCUGUAUCUCACACAUCAGACAUCGGUGUGUGCACCAAAAUGCUUGAUUUUGAACCCUUAGAAAGAAACAAAAGCUCAACAUCUUUAUCAAAGACAGCAUAGAUGUGUGGAAGUUCUUAUUAGCAAACAAGAGCGAUCCUGUCGGGAUAAAUUAAAAAAAACAACAGGUUCUGAACCAUGCCUCUUAUUAUUUUCUGCUUCUCGGAAAAAAAGAAAAGGAAAAAAAGAAGAAGAACUGGUAGCUUAUCUAAAUGUUGAGCAGGAUGACAUGAUCCAUGUCCUGUGUCAGGGAGAAACAACAUAUUCUAAAUCCAAAUAGCACCUGCUUGUAUAAGCAAUGGGACUAGCUGGUUCUGAAGAUGUAGGCUCAUGACAUUCCUUUCAUUACCAACCAGCUGUUGGCCUAUGAACACAGCAGGUACACUCUGUCGAAACCCAAGCUGCAUUAAUGCCCUUUCAAUUUGUUGUCCAUUUGGAAUUCUGUCGAGGUUAUAAACUGUUGGAUUCGCUCCAAAUCCUCGUAUAAGUGUCUCGACAGAGUGGCUCAUGCAGCAAGAACUCUUGCCGAAAAUCACCACUGGCUUUUCUUGAAUCAAUACAUUCAACACAUCCAUUGUCACAGUGGGCUCAAGAGUUUGAUGUGGCUGUUGAGAGAUUUUUAGAAGGCGUGCGAAGUGAGUAUAUUUCUGAAGAUUGUUGAGAGUAGAAGGCUUUCCUACGAGGAGCUUGAACACAUAUGGUGGUUUAUUUAUACUGUCUAUUUAGAGUGGUUGUAUUGCACAUCGUUUCCUGCUGGAUAGAAUAUUAGGGACGACACGAUAAGCUGAUCAAAAGAUUUGCCAUUAGAAACUCCUUUUGCCUAUUCGAUGAUUACUUGAUAGAGACGUUUUCAAUAGCAAUUUGCAUACGUGAAAAAUGUAGUUUUCUGUGCUAAUGCCGAGGACUUGCAAAAGUUUUUUAUCUUGCCCAAGAUGCCGUACAAACAUAAAUUCCUUGUUAUUACUAUACAUGUUAAUCUACCAAUCACUAUUUUUAUGACAACUUUUUUGUAGAAUCUAAUUCAUGUUUGUCAUUGUUCUUGCAGUUUGAUAAAAUAAAUUUUAGAAAAAUUAUAAAUUGUUUCGUAGUCAAGAUUUUAUGAGAGAAUAAUAAUAAUAAAAAAAUCAUAUAAAAUAUAUUGAUUAAUCAAAUAUAUUCAAAAUUAUAAUCAAAGUAAAUUGUAAUUUCAACCAUAUCUCAUCUCAUUACCGGGACAAUGAAAUCUAGUUUUCUUAAAUUUUGGAUGGGUGAGCAUUUGAUAUGGCAUUAAAACUUCUUUGAUAAAGCUUUUUCCAUUGAUGAACCUAGAUUUAACGGGUUUAAAACCCCUAACAAUCUAUUUUUCGUUUUUAUUGGGCUCAAGAAACUCAUCUGAGCCCAAUACUCACUCGGUAAUAUUUUAGGACCUCCAUACAAAUCAUUUACUAUUUUAUACUGAUUUAAUAUAUAUUAUUUUGAAUGAAAUAUAAUUCAAAAUAUCAUAGGGAUGAAAGGAUUUUUCAACUCCCCCCUCUCCACUAAAAGACAAGAAUCAUUGGAUAAAAAUAUUCAAUGAAUCUUUCAAGCUCAAAGUUCACAAUUUCUUCAUUCUCAAUAUUUUUAACAUUCAUAUUUAAUUACAAAAUUUAUUUAUCUAAAAUAUCACUAUACAUUUUCUCUCUAAAAAGAUAUUUAUUUAAGUACUAAAGAAUCCUCAAAUCUAAAAAAAAAAAAAAAACCUUUUGUAAUUACCAGUUUUAUUAGCCUAUCAGACACCAGACACAAGCUACUAGCCACUUUAUCUAAAAAAAUAUAUUAAGUUGAAAGAACCAAGAAAUUAAUUGAUUAUUCAAUAUAUAAAUCUUAAUUCUAAAAUUCACACCUCAUUUUAUUUCAAAAUCAUAUAGUUAUGGUUCUCUCUAUUUUGAGCAUCUAUUGAGGUGGAUAAAGAAUUGAGUUUAUCCACCUACACUUUCCUCUAAGGAGAAAGUUGUAUUUUCAUGAACAAAAUCGAAAGCUCGAAAGAAAUAAUGCUUUUAGAAAGUUAAUCUAACCUUAAUAUCAUGGUUACGUAACAAAAACUAUGUAACUAUUCAUUAUAUUAUAAUAUAAAUUAAAAGAUAAAGAAGUUUUCCAAUACAUUAUUGUUUAUUCAGACUCAUUGUUACUAUUGAUUUUAAUUGUAAUUUUUUUUUUAACAUUUGAGCCCUUUUAAGUUAAAAUUAUAACCAAAUGACAUGUGUUUUUUUGGAAGGGGGAGUUGAAUUGAAAGAAAAAGAUAGAUAUGAAAAUUGAGAGGUAAAAUAGAUAAUGGCAUUGAAAUUUGUUUGUAAAGUUCAUUUUAGUCUCUCAUUAUUUUAGCUAUUAGAUAACUGGUUUCUCUAAAUUUUUAAAACUUAAUUUUGAUAUUAAACUUUAUUUUCUUUUUUCUUUUAAUCAAUUUUUAGUGGAGGAGAGAGAGGGGAUCGUUAGAUUUUGGUGUAUAAAGAAAAUUGUUGUUGGCGAUGAUUUCAACCUCCACCACGAUUGAUUUUUAUGUCAAAUUCUUCAAAAUAAUGAAGGGUGUUAAGAUUAUAUUUUUUACCCUCAUCUAAAAAAAUAGAUUUGAGCUCUGGGAUAUUUUUGGUUGUUGCCCUUUAAUUUAUUUUUUAUUUCAAUUUUAAUCCUUAUUCUUUUAAUCUUUAUUUUUUAUUUUGGAUUUUUUUGUGUAAUUUUUUUUUAUCAAUUUCUUCCUUCAAGUUUUCUAGGGAUUGAGCUUCAUUAUUUUUUCAUAUGUAGUGCUUUCGGUUUGAUGACCCAAGUCACGAGUUUGAAAAGUAAUAGGGGUUGAAAUCUUUUUUUUUGUCUUAUUUUCUUUUUUGAUUUUGUCAUUUGAUAUUUUUUAAUUAAAAAAUGACUUUGUGGUGUUUUUCAAUUUUAUUUUCUAUCGAAUUAUCCCGAUCUUAUGACUUAAAAAACAAGUUUAUCAGGUUAAUUUGAAUUAGCUCUCCCUUUAAUGUUUAUAUUACAUGUCUACCAUGCUGGAUUGGGUUGACUCACACCAGUUUUUAUUAUUAUUUUUUUGUUAUAUUUCAUCCUUUCAUUUUAAUUGACUAAAAAUUAAACAAUAUUAUCUUUUUGUUAUUGGAUAAAGGGUUUUUUUAUUUUUUAUUUUUUUAUUUCAUGUUCUCGUGAUUUUUUUUCCCUCCAUAUGAUUCAAAUAAAACCAGCUUAGUUAUUUUAUCAGGAUUAUAACAGUCAUUGAAUUUUCUUUUUUGUUUCUUUAAAUACACUUACGAUAUCUAAAUAUUUUACUAAAAAAAUAAUACAAACCUAGUAUGUACUAGAAGGAGAAGAAGAUAACCUGUGUAGCCACCACAUUAUCAAUUUAUACACAUUGCAGAACCUGGAAAGAUAUACCACAAAGACAUUCUUACCAGGAAUCAGAAGUCUCAGGUGGCCCACUUGAUAAUUAAAUUAAUUAAAGAGAUUCCGUUGGGGUAACCAUUGCGCACUAAUCUCUUUCUUAAUUAUUAUUAUUAUUAUUUGUGAUAGGCAAAAGGAAAAAAACGGGAUACUUCACGCACUCUUGGGUUUUAGCUUUCCUUUGCUUUGUUUUAAAAUGAAGUUCCUUCCAGUCAUCAUUCGUUCAACUUGAAAGGGAAACCAUUCCUUAAGGAAUACAGACUAAUGUUUCUUGAUAUAUGGGGCAGACAUAGUUUAUAGGAAAAUAAAAUGAACGUAUUACCAAAAAAAAAAAAAACAGAAACAUAAAAGAAAAGAACAAUCAAAUUAGUAAUCUGUAAAUAUUCACAUUCAAAUACCAUCUACACCACGAAUAAGAACCUUCUAGGUGGUGGCCCAGCGGUAAAAGCUUGGGACCAAGAGGUUUGCUCCUUCUGUGGUCUCAGGUUCAAUCCCUAGGUUGCUCAUAUGAUGGCCACUGGAGGUUUACAUGGUCGUUAACUUCAGGGCCCGUGGGAUUAGUCGAGGUACGUGCAAGCUGGCCCGGACACCCACGUUAAUCAAAAAAAAAAAAAAAAAAAAAGAACCUUACUAGUAUAGCUAAAAUUAGAUUCACGACAUUUUAGCCAAAUUAAUAGUUUAUGCAAGAAUCAAGAUAGCAAAGAAACUGAAAUCCCAAUCUUACUACAUUUUAUUAAAAAACCAAAUCAUUUUUUAUGAGCUAAAUACUCUAUGAUAUGUCAAAGGAAAGGAGAUUUCAAACCCGAAUAUGAAAUGUACCUUUCAUUAAAGAAAACUACUUCAAAAUAAAAAUCUAGAGUCUAAGGGAUGCACCAAGAGACACUCCCCGCCUCUGUAAGAAUUUUGCCCAUAAUUUUCAAGUAUAGAACAAUGGAAUAACAAACGAUCCGGAAUAUCUAGCUCUACUGCACAAAAUAGAUGUAUGAAUUGCUUUGCUAGCUAGAAUCAGCCGGUGUUUGAAAAGAAAAUCAUCUGUACAAAUUCGAAUUUGGACAGCCAACUAUAUAAAUAUUUGUAUUUUAGGUGUAGCCAUUUUAAAACAUACAUUAUAUUUGAAAUAAAUGAUUACAUAGACUGGAAAAUGACGACAGCUGAUAAGUAUAGUUGGUUAAGCAUUGGAGAACCUCAAUAUAACCCCUAAAGGAUUACCUUAUUAUUAAUUGGAUCCCAAAGCUUUUGAUUUUAUCCAUUUUACUUUAAACCUUGGAUGUUAAACAAUGUCACCCCUUCACCUAUCCCCUGUUAAUUAGUACUUCCAUCAAAGGUGCUAAAUUAUGUCCUAAAGAACAAUCCUAGCAUCCAUUCCUAUUAAAUUUUGUUCUGCUUGUAUAAUAGGAGAAGUGGAGGAAAUUUAUUAAGAUUUUGUGUUGAUAAAUUAGAGCUUAUUUCACGCAGUGGAUGAGAAAGCGCUUGAAGUGCACAUACAAAUUAUUGUUACUAAUUAACAUCAAAUGGAAUAGAGGAGUUAUAUUAUUUGAUCAUGUCGAUUACAUCUGGGAUGAAAUUGAUAUGAUGAAGUAGUUUGGAACUCAAUUAAUAAUAAUAUAAUAUAUUAGGGAUAAUAUUGUGACUUAUCCUUAAAAUUCAUCUAGAAAGUCAAAUUUGACGACUUUUUUUAGCAUCCUCUAGAAAUGGAAUGUUAGAAGAAGAAAAACGCACGAGAGGACGGUUCCUGACAUCGCAGACAUAUAUGGUUCUCGCUAUAUCAGCAAAAUAUAAGCUGGGAUUUUAGCCUUGAUGGUAAUUAAAUGGUGGAUUCGUGAAAGCUACUUUGAGGAUCAAUUCAUUUUACAAGACAUGGUUCCAGACUUCGAGCUAGCCAUUAACAACCAAAAGUAGACAUCAUGAUCUUGAGCCAUGGCCACAUGCUUUUUACUUGCUCUCUCACUAAGAACAUGGUGGUCUCUGCUGCAAUCUCUUCAAUACAAAUUGUAUAGAAUUAAGCUUGUUAAUAAACGAGGCAUAGCUAAGUACUCUAUACACAAAUUGUAUCUUUCGAGAUUCUGACACCUUAGAAAGAAAUACAAGCAGAACAUCUUUAUCAAGGACAGCAUAGAUGCGUGGAUGAACUUUGUAAUUUGAAAAAAGAGAGUUAUCCUAUCAGGAUAACUAAUAGCAUCAAGAGGUUCUGAGCGAUUGCUCUUAUAUAUCAUUUUUUGCUGCUUGGAACAAAGAAAAGGAAAAAAAAAUAAAUACUAGUAGCUUAUCAGCCACAUGACAUUGAUCCAUGUCCUAUGCCAGGGAGAAAUAACUUACUCUAAAUCCAAAUAGCACCUGCUUGUAUAAGCAAUGGGACUAGCUGGUUCUUGACGUGGAGGCUCAUCACCUGCCUUUCAUUACCAAUCAGCUUUUGGCCUAUGAACACAACAGGUACGCUCUGUCGAAAUCCCAGCUGCACGAGUGUCCUUUCAAUUUGAUGUCCAUUUGGAAGUUGGUCUAGCUGAUAAACUGUUGGAUUUGCUCCAAAACCACGUAUUAAUGAUUCGAUGGAGUGGCUCAUGCAGCAAGAACUCUUGCUAAAAAUCACCACCGGCUUUUCUUGAAUCAUUGCAUUCACCACAUCCAUUGUCACAGAGGGUUCAAAGAGCUAGUUUGAAGUGGGCGUGAGACGUGAGUGUAUUAACAAAGAUUGUUGAGUCUGAAAGGCUUUGCUAUAAGGAGUUUGAAUACCUUUGGAGGUUAUUUAUAAUGUAGAUUUAGAGUUUUUGGUUCCUGCAGGAUAGAAUAUAGUGGCUGACGGAAAACUGUUCAGAAUCUGUGUUAUUACAUUCCCCACAUCACUGCAAUUUUGAUGACAAUCAGGACACUUUCCUCUAUAUCAACAGUAUAUAUCGCAAGUGAAAGAAAUGAUACUUUCUUGAAGACAAUCUGCUCUUAAAAGCACGGUCACGUGACAAAAACAACGUAAGAAUUCCUAUCUAGCUACUAGAAGGAGAAUUAAGAAGAUACCCAGUGGAGCCACCGCAUUAUCAAUUUCUACACAAUGAAGAAACCACACAAGAAAUUAAAUCCUGACUCCCGAGUCAAAUGGACCCUCUAAUGUUUUUUUUAGCUUUUUCGUGAUUGCAAGAAUUGCUAUGGUCCUUGCUCCAUUAGUAGCACUUGUCACAGAGACCUGUUAAAGCAACUUUUACUUCCAAGUCCUAUCCCAGAUGUCACUAUUGUUUUAAACGCCGCAUAUAUACUUAGAUUUCCUUUCUACUGUUUCUUCAUCUGCUUUGAAUUCACAAUAUAUACGUGUAGAUAAAUUACAGGAAUUGGGUAUACUGAUUAUGUAUGGCUCAUCAUAUCAUCAUGUGUGAUGUCAGUUUAAUGGUGCUUGAUUACACAGAGGAUGCGUUUAAUGCCAACUUUGGUGAUUAGUCAUCUAGGAUCUUCUGGAGGUGGAAUAUGAGAAAAAGAAAAAAAAAACGCACUUUGAGGUUGAUUCCAGACAUUGAUCGCGUGUACCGUACAGUGGCAUAAUAUGUUUUGUUUGUUGGGUUUUUUUGAAAUUAAUAGAUGCCGUGAAAAUAAUAAUUUAAAUAUUUUUUUGAAUUUCAAAGAUAUGUUAGAUAGUUUAAAGUGGUUAUGGUUUGAGUAAAAAUUAUUUAAAGAUUAAACAUAUUUUAAAGUUAAGUUAUCAGAAAUCACUUAAGCGGUCGAAGUACUUACCUACUAAAAAUGUCACAACUUAAAUUUUAGAUCUCAUUGACAACCCAAGAGUGGUGUCAAAAAACCACAUAACAUUUUGUAAACUUUUAAAAAUAUUCUUCAAAACCAAUUAUAUCAAAUAAUAGUUCAUAAUACUUACUACAAUGUAAAAACCCAAACUUUAAAUAAAAUAAUGUAAUAAUAGAGCACUCUAAGAUAUCAAAUCAAAACUAAAUAGAAAAUCUCUUAAAAACAAGUGAGACAUACCAAAUAAAAAUAAAAAAGUAGGAAUUCUCACAAAAAAAUCACUCUUAACUCCACUCCUUAUAUCAAAUGAUAUAAGCCGAAAUAACACCCUAAAAAAUUAAUUAAACAACUCAAAUAAUCCAAAUCUUUAAAUCAAACUUAACCAACAUAAUCAAGCAUAAAAACAUCAAUAUCUUACCUUAUAAACUCUUAUCUCUAACUUUCACUUCUCGUUUCCUCUUCUUCAUCCUCUUGCCUCAAUUUUCCUUCUUCCUCUUUUCUUCUCUUAGGGUUCUCUCUAGAAAAUUGACCCUCUCUAUGUUUUUAUUGACUUCCUAUUUAUAUUUAUAAAAAAUAUAUGAAAAGACCCAAAAUGUCCCUCAAUUAUUUAUAUCCUUAACUACUUAUUAAAGGGUAUAAAUCUCUUUUCCAAUCCAAUGUUUUCAGCAUAUUACAAAAAUGCUUUUAGGAUAGAGGGAUAACUACGCUUUUCAACCCCUUUUGGAUAGAGAGAUCACUAUACUUUUGAUUGCUUGUUUUUUUCCAGGUGUUUCUAUAUUGUUUGUAUGUUACAAAGCUUCUACAAAAAAAUAAAAAUAAAAAUAAGAAAAAACAUUUUAUUUAUAUUACCGAGCCUCCUGAAAAAUAUCACAUAUAUUAUUUCAUGAUAAUUUUAUAAAUUUAUUCAUUCAAGUCUCUAAUUGAUUUUAUAGUCUAAAAUUAUAAUUCAUUGUAUUACUUAUAUUCUAGUUCUCAAUUUCCAAAAACUUACUUACAAUCAAGUUAUACUUGAUCAAUCAUCAAAUUUUAAUUUCUAACAAAUGAUUUUUAAAACAUGUAACCCAUUAGGUUCCUAAUAAGUUGGUUCAAAUAAAAAUUAUAGUCUUAAACAAAAUAUGAUUAAAUAAAUUAAACAAUUUAAUUCAUUAGCAAUUCAAUAAUUGAUUGAUUUAUAUUUGAAGAUAAAUUGUUCCACCUAACAACAUGUCAUGAUUCUUAAAUUAGAAAAAUCAUACGGUAUUUGAUUUAACCUUUUAGUGAGCAUUAAUCAAGAAUAUUCCGAUUUAGAUAUUAUAUUAUAAAAUAUAUCUGCUCUGUAAAGUUAUAUUUGCUCUCCACACCAUAGUCAUUGAUUAUUUGAUUGAGAUUUGAAAUUCUUUCCAAAUCUCAUUCCACAUUACUCAAGGAUUACAAAAUCAAUACUAUUUAAGAAUAAAUAAAAUAUUUUUUCUAAUUUAUCAAGGGUGAUAAAUCAUUUCUUGAUCAUUUAAAUAUCUUUAUAUAGUUCAUGUUAUAUGCAUCACUCAUUUCGACUCCUGUUUUCAACAUAUUUUUUAAAAAAACUAGAAAUAAUACAAAAAAUACUAGAAUUCUCAAAAAUUAUGUUUUCAAUGCGAGUUGACCAAUUUUUGGUGAUUUCAUAAUUUUUGACCAUUUCUACAUAAUCAUUCCAUUACACAAUUUCAUAAAUUCAAUUCGAUAAUCUUAUUAUUAAUGGAAUGGUAUAAUUUCAAACCUUGUUCUUCGGAUACUACUUAAUAGAUAAUAUGAUUUUUUUUCAAACCAUAAUAAGUCUCGUAAAUAAGUGUGCCUAUUCUAAAUAAUCUAGGAUGGAAUGAUUUAAAAUUAGACCCUAUCAUAUGAACAUUAUUUAGUCAAUUGACCAUGAUCAUGAAUAUCUCAACCUUAUAUUAAAUGAUUCUAUGAUGUAAGAUUCUAUUUUCGGAUGUUAAUUAAUAGAUAAUAGGGCCAAUUAAUAUGGUCCACCAAAUGACCCGGGAUGAUAAAGCUCAAUAUCGGGCUCUAGUUUUUGGACUUUGUUUUGUGGGUAAUGACAAUACUUUGAAUAAAAUACAUAUCAAUUUAGACAAACCAUAUUAAAAUAUAUUUAUCAUUGAAAACAAAUAAAAAUACAGUUUAUCUUAGAUAAGAUGUAUAUGAUGAUAUCUAUCUUCCCAUUACAUAAAUAAUCAGCCCAUUACCCAGAACCUUUGAAGACUAAUUAUGGUUUCUAAUUACUAUAAAACUGGGUGGCGACUCAUGUUUUUUCUUUCUUUUUUACCCCUUUCUACAGCUUAAUUAAUAUUUAGGGACAACUUAAUUAAUAUGAAUUAAUAUGCUAUGAAUCUUAUAAUUAUAACAAUUUUAUAAAUUUGUUCGUAAAAUAUUUGUCUCAAGUACUAUAUAUGUUUAUUCUAGAGUAAAUAAAUCAAAUAUUAAAAAUAAAAAAUACCUUUAUUAAUAUAAUAAAUAUAUUUUUAUAUGGAUAAAGUCAAUUAUCUAACCAAUUAAUUGAUUAUAGAAAAAGUUCAUUGUUUGUAAUGUUUUGAAUUAAUAAGAUAGGAAAAUACAAUAAAGCCCUUAAAGGCUCAAAGUGUAGGAAUAAAUGAAGGAGAGGUAUUGUAGUAAUUCAAUAAAUAGUUGAUAUAUAAAUAGAAAAAAAAAAAAGAUCUGAAAAUUUUGAGAGAGAAUCGGCAGGAGAGAAGGGAGGAAGAAGAAGAAGAGAAAAAAAGGGAAAAUAAGGGAAAAAGGAAAGGAGUUGAGGAAAUAAGUUAAAAAGGUAAGAUUUAGGUUGUUUAAUGUGUAUAAUAUAUUAAUUAAGCUUUAAUUUCAGUUUUGAUGAAUGUUAGGGUUUUGAGAAUUUGUGUUUUGGUUUAAAUUGAUGAAUUAAAUUGAAUGAUGGAGGUUGAUUGUUGUGUUUAAUUGAUGAUUUAGUUGAUUAUGAAGAUUUUGAUGAUUUUGAGUUAGAGUUUUGUUUAAAUGGUGAAAUUGUGUUAGAAAUUUUGGAGAGAACAGUGGGGUUCCUGUUAAAAUUCUGGAAUGGAGGUUGAAGAUGACAAAAAUUCAAUUUGGUCCCUCAAUUUGCGAAAAUUACAGUUUAGUCCCCGAACUUUGGAAAAUUACAAAUUGGUCCCUGGAGCAUAUUCCGAGAUUCUGAACAGAAUAACAUAUGAAUUAUGGAUAGAAUUACUGUAUAGAUAAGAUAAUUUAACACUUUCAAUUUGGUCCUCCAAUUUAACAAAAAUUACAAUUUGACCCUAAAAAUUUAGUAAAAUUCCAGAAUGAUCCCUGAAGCAUAAUGAUACAUCCUGGACAGAAUUGAGGAUUAAUUAAGGUCAGAAUUUCAGUAUAUUCAUGGAUUUAUGACAAAUUUCAGUUUGGUCCUCCAUUUGACAAAAGUUACAAUUUGGCCCUAAAAAUAUGGAAAAAUUCCAGAUUAGUCCCUAGCUGUAAUAUUAGCUUUUUCAGAUUAGUUUGAUGAAUAAUUAAGGGUUAUUUAGUGAAUUAUUACCAAUUUUAUUAGUUGUUUUUAUUAUGGAUUAGAUUUCGGGAAAACCGUUAGAUUUUGGGUUUUUAAGAAAAUUGACUAGUUAGUUCAAAAACAUAUAGGGUUACAGAAUACACCCUUAGUUAAGUGUAUUAAAUAGGUUAAAUGUUCUUUCGAGUCGUUUUGAAUAUGUCUCCUUUGUAUUCAGAUAAUCCUGAUAUUCUACCGGCAGGACGUCAGUAGAAUUUCCUUCGGUUUCAGCUUGUGAGUGUUGUUUGCUUUUGAGUCAGGUGAGUGGAUAAUUUUCCAUAUGCAUGAGAAAUAUUAUAAAUAUUUGAUUUGUUAAUAUGAAUUGGAUCAUGCUUCUUGAUAAUAUAUAUGCUGAUUAUUAUCCUUGAUGAUAAAGCAUGAUCAAUUAUUGAAUCUGAUUUCUUGAUAUGAACCAAUAUAUUUGAUUGACUUCUGAAUUGAUAGCUCCUCAUUUGAUUAUGUCAUGAGUUGAGCUUUGAGAUAUGAAUAUGUUUGUUUGAUUAUGAUUAUGAACCUAUGGUAUGUCAGUCAGAAUACCCAUGCUAACAGGGUAGUGUUAGUCUUUGUGCACAUCGUAUCUGAACCCUAGUUGGUCGGGGGAGUCACCAACCUGUGUGGACUGAUCAUCCCACAGUACGGAGCCUCAUGCUCAUUGCAUUUUGAUUUUCUGACGAGCUUUACCAUAUAAUCUUCUUGUUAUGGCCUAUUUGAGAAACCUUUCUAUAAGAACCUAGAGCCAUACUUGUAUAUAUAUUUCUCAUUGUUAUAUUACCUCGUGUGUGUAUAUUGAACGUUAUCUACUCACUGAGUUGUUGAACUCACCCUCUCAUUAUUUAUCAUUUUCAGGCUUAUAGCUUGAUAGCAGGUCACUUUUGUUGAAUCUUCUGGACCUGCUUUUUGGUUGUAAUUUAUACAUUCCUUUUUGUCAAGUUAGUGCUCCAAAACUAUGAAUAUAUAUGAACUCUUGUAUUAAGACAAUCAAAUUAUGUUAUAAAACUUGUUUUGUUGUUACUACUACGUUGAACAACUCUGAUUGAGUUUUGAAGGAUAAGUUUGUAUGUAAGUUUGGGUUCGCAUAUGUUUGGAACCUUGGAGGGGAACCUUGCAUAUGUGCCGGUCAUGGAUCCGGGAUUCGGGUCGUGACAUUGUUAAUUCUAAAAAAAAACCCUCCUAACGAAACAUCAAAGUUGUAGGGAGAAAAUUAAGUUCUGAAAAUUUUAUUCAAAGAUCAUUGACGGUCACUAGCCUACAAAAUUAAUUUAAAUAGUCUACAAUACCCGUUUAUCCUUUCACUAGAACUUCAAUCUGUCAAACAGGUCCAUGUAUUAAUUCAUCUGUUAAAAUCCUACUUCAAUCCCAUAUAUAUGUGGGUGUACGGGAUGGAUUAAGGUUCUAGGUGACUAAAUUUCUUGAGGUUAAGCAACAUCUGCAAAAGAGGAACUUUCCAUCAAUUUUACGUAGGCUCAUGUCUCUGACAUCUACUUCACAAGGAGAGUAAGGGGCCACAAACACCAUAACUCGAUAUUUCCAACAUAAUGUGGUAGAAAUAAAGUUCUACCAGUAAAUAAAGUUCUUGUCCCAUUCAUAGCAUGCAGUAUGUGCCAGUAAAUGAAGUUCAAUAGCACUGGUUAUCCUCGACACAAAUGUGUUUGUGCUUGAUUUUGAGCCCGUAGAAAGAAACAAAAGCAGUGCAUCUUUAUGAGGUACAACGUAGAUGCGUGGAAGUUCAGGAAAAAUUUAAAACAUAAAGAGGUUCUUAGCAGUGCCAACUAUCAUUUUGUCUUAAUGGGGAAAACAGCAAACAAAAAAGAAACAGUACUAGUAGCUUAUCUAAGCAUUCUGCGGCGUGACAUGGAUCCAUGUCCUAUUGCGUAGAGAGAAACUACUUAUUCUAAAUCCAUAUUGCACCUGCUUGAAUAAGCAAUGGGACUAGUUGGUUCUGGAUGUGGAGGCUCAUCACCUGCCUUUCGUUACCAAUCAGCUGUUGGCCUAUGAACACAGCAGGUACACUAUGUCGAAACCCCAUCUUUACUAGUUCCCUUUCGAUUUGAUGUCCAUUUGGAAUUUGGUCUAGCUGAUAAAUCGUUGGAUUUGCUCCAAAUCCACGCAUAAGCGACUCGAUGGAGUGGCUCAUGCAGCAAGAACUCUUGCUGAAAAUCACCACUGGCUUUUCUUGAACCAUUACAUUCACUACAUCCAUUGUCACAAAGGUUUCAAAGAGUUUGGAGUGGUUGUUGAGAGACUUUAAAAGGCUUGAGACGGGUGUAUGUUGAUGUAGAUAGUUGAGACUCUAAAAGGCUUUGUU
rnacentral:lncRNA from 1 species